rnacentral:rRNA from 1 species
UACGAAGGGGGCGAGCGUUGUUCGGAAUUACUGGGCGUAAAGGGCGCGUAGGCGGCCCCUUUUGUCGCGUGUGAAAGCCCCGGGCUCAACCUGGGAGGUGCGCGCGAAACGGGGGGGCUUGAGUUCGGGAGAGGAGAGUGGAAUUCCCAGUGUAGAGGUGAAAUUCGUAGAUAUUGGGAAGAACACCGGUGGCGAAGGCGGCUCUCUGGACCGAGACUGACGCUGAGACGCGAAAGCGUGGGGAGCAAACAGG